rnacentral:sRNA from 1 species
UUUGAAAUGAAAGUUACAAUUUGUAAAUGUUGAACUUGCGAAAAAUCCAGGAGUUUGUGUGACCGACUGCAUGGACAGCUGAUAUGACAUUUGGGACGAAACAGAUGUGGCAGUGGUGGUUUCUACGGGAAUAAGUUCAUUUUGGAUAGCAGGGCGAGGAACUACAGCAUGUUGCGCAUCGCACAUGGUUGCUGACGAGGUUUGUGUCUUCAGUGAAGAUAAUGUCGUACUUAGGGCUCUUUUUUGAGAAGUUGAGACAGUCCUGCUGUAGGAUCGUAAUGAAGAUUCGUUUCUGUGGCCUGAUAAAAACAUAAUAUGACGUGCUUCCCAUCCCGAGUCAUUAAGAUGUUGAAUAGUUGUGGCGCGGAUGCAGUGUGGCGUGUACCUCUUUUCAACACCAGCAUUUUUGCAAAUUUCAGGUAAAAAAUUCUGAAAGGUGCGUUUGGAUAAUGGCUUGGAUGUGAACCAAACUGCUCUUUCUGAAUUGGCCAGGGCAGCUUUAUCAUACUGGUUGAACAGUGAUGUGGCAUCAGAGGGGGUCUUUUCUAAUAAUAGUUUUAACAUUUUAACCGGACAGCAUUCUGUAUCAUCAGCAUACAUCCUCUUGUCGGAUGGUGCUUCUGCACUUCUGAUUCCACCUUGGAAAUUUUUCUGCUGUGUGUCGUGUGAUAAAGUUACGUAUUCCCCAUUUUCAUCAUUUUUAAAUUCAAAAGACUUUAAGUUGAGUUGGUGGUGCAAUUCCAGCCCCCUUGACAAGAAAUGAAUUGAUGUGAGGAACCAAACAGCGUGUCUCAGAAUGACUGGAGAAGAGGAGCCCUUUUUCAAGAACGGUUGGGUCAAAGCUAUUUAACAGUUCCUCAUCACUGUUAGAAAUUUCCGUUGGAACCUCGUCGUUAGGAUUCAUUUGAAAGUUUCCAAAUUCCCUCUCAGCUCCUGUGCAUUGCAUAGCGGCACGAUCAAAGCAGACGAUCAAAGAGUCAGAGACCCGGAUAUUGUACUAUAUUUACAGGACUAUUUAAUAUUCAACAAAGAUAAUCAUGAAAUAUUUUGUUUAUUUAUUUAACUAAUUCAAUAAAAUAAAUUGUUUACAUGUU